UUUAUCUGUAUUGCAAAGUACGUCGGCUUUGUGUGAGUAGAAUGAAACAUUAUUCACGGGUGUUGAUGUGGAUAAGAUAGUCAAAUUAAGGAUUAUUUAAUUACUCCGAAGCGUCGUUCGAACACCCGUGUGAGUCAAAUUCAAGAAUAUAUAGAGGAAGCGAGCCCCAGGAAGAUUUCAACAUGCAACAGCAACAGCAACAGCAAAUGACAACGGUUGUUCAAACACAGCCAACGGUCGUUAUGGCACCUACGCCGAUGGGUGGUGGUUGCGCUUCUUGUGGGGUUGGAGUGAUGCGGGAGAAAUACACGUGUUGUGGCGUUCUACUAGGCAUUAUCUUCUUCCCGAUUGGUAUCAUUUGCUGCUGUAUGAUGAAAGAGAGGAAAUGCAUACGGUGUGGUUACACGAUUUAAGACGAAAGCCAAUAAGCAAGGCGUGUUGAUUUCAGCAUCGUACACGAAUGCUUUACUAUGACUCAUUAAUAUUAAAACAAAACUAUUUGAAAUGUCAAGACAUUAAUUUUUAUUGAGCACAUAACACACCCUUUAUUUUAAAAUACUAAAAAAUCUGUGUACCAGCGGAACACUUAGUUUUUUGUGGUGUGUAUUAGCAUUGUAAAAUAAUGUGUUUAUACAUGUACAGGCAUGUUUAAAAGUAUGCAUCGUGAAUAAAAUUGAAUAAACCAUGUUUUCUAAUA